rnacentral:lncRNA from 1 species
CUCCUGCCUAUCAUAUGAAGACGUCCUGGAAGAGCUUUCAAAAAACUGAGUCACUCUCAUGUAGCCCUGGGUGAGUAGCCUUAAACUCACAGAGAUCCAUCUGCAUCUGUCUCCUGAGUCCUGGGAUCAGAGGCCCUUCUAUCAUCACGUGAACAUGGCGGAGCGCACAAGCCUGCACAAACCCUGAAGAGACAGGCACAUCACUCAAGGUAGCAUCUUAAUGCAAUGAAGAGACAUGGCAGACAAGACAUCUGAGGCUGCUGCUGGGGCGAUUGCUAUGUCUCCCCAGACUCACAGUGGGCUGUGGUCAAGCCUGGAGAGAUAACCCAAGUUGAGGAUUUACCUCUGCCAUUUCUCUGAACAAAGCUCUCCGGACCUCAACCUUUUGUCAAUAGAGAAGCAGACCCAAGUUGCAAAGCGAUGUAAAACAUGACUCUCCAUAGCUUCAGAUAUCAUCAAGUGAAUGAGUAUCUGACUGGUGAGUUUGAUUUCACAUUCUCUGGACUGUGAAGUACCUAUAUGCUUCACUGCCAUGCAGGAUCCUGCUUGAUUCAUCUUCCCGAAUUGCUUAACAGUACCCGACAUCCAGAAGACAAGCAGACGAGUGACUGACAGAACAAAUGAAUCGAGUCAUGUUCUGUCAGCUUGUUAAAUGGGGAAAGACUGAAUUCCACGAUGGUUUGUGAAAGCAGCCAUUCCCGCGUUUAUAAUUCAGUUUGUCAACAGAAUGAAUCCAGCGUUUGGAGGGCUUUUAGAAUGCAGUUUCCAAAGCACAUGGGGGUUGUUUUCAGGGUGCGGGCUGCACUGGCACCAGACAGCUGUCCUCAUUUCUACCCCAGAGAGGGCUGAGGGCACUAUGGCUAGAGGCUGGCAGAGGACCAUUCCUGAUGAGAACCUGAGACACAC